CGGGGGACAAAGUGACAGGUGGUGCAUGGUUGUCGUCAGCUCGUGUCGUGAGAUGUUGGGUUAAGUCCCGCAACGAGCGCAACCCUUAAGCUUAGUUGCCAUCAUUAAGUUGGGCACUCUAAGUUGACUGGCGGUGACAAACCGGAGGAAGGUGGGGAUGACGUCAAAUCAUCAUGCCCCUUAUGAUUUGGGCUACACACGUGCUACAAUGGACAAUACAAAGGGCAGCGAAACCGCGAGGUCAAGCAAAUCCCAUAAAGU
rnacentral:rRNA from 1 species